ACGUGAGCUGGACAGAGCGGCUGUGACGUGUCGGGCGUGGGCCCUAGCCAGGGCCUCCACAGUCGGCAUAUUCUCUGCCGGCCCAGGCGUGGUUUGGGCCCUCAUGGGCUUUGAUGGGAAGGGGGAGGGAGGGGAAGGCACUGAAAUGGGAGUCAGUAGUCUGAGGGCCUUCAGUCAUCCAUUCAGUCAUCCCCUAAAUGAAGCUGGGCAGGCUCGUUCCCUCCCGUGGCCUCCAUAGCUCCAUCUGUACAAUGGGAAUUUCCACUCGGUGCUCUCAUAGGUCACUGUCAUACCAACAGCCAGUCCCCCAGGCUCUGCAAAGGUGGGGCUGAAGUCACACGGGAGAGCCCGACCUGCUCCCAGCCCCUCUGAGGGCCUGCUGAAAGUGCUGGGGUCCAGGGCGGAGGCUCAGGGAGAUGGGCAGAGCUGCCUUCAGAUACUAGCUCUGCUAUUUAUCUGAUGUUGGGCCUCAAUGUCCUCAUUUGUAAAGUCAGGAUGCUGUUGGCAAUCUUGCAGGAUUGUCCUGAGGCUUACACAUGAUAAUUAUGCAGGUCGGCGGAGUUUUCAGCAGAGACCUGGCUCCUAGUACCCAAUAAACGACAUCUUUAUCCUGGACCAGCGAGGCUUGCCCUGGGCUUAUGUAGGGGCCCUGGGGCGGUGGUCUUUUGGUGAAGGAGAAAUGCGCUUGGGUCUGACCUUGUCCUUAGCAAUGAGGCCUUACCUGUUGCUUGGGUACCUCCUCUGGGACAGGCCAGAGUCUAUCCCCCCUAACUCCAUGGGCUCUGACCCCUGCAGAUGACCUCAGGACUUUGUCCCUCUGCCCUGGUUGUGGGCUUUCUGACUAGGAGACUGAGCAACGGGCCAGGACCCCCUCUAAGCCCCUUUGGGUCCCCACAGUGGAGGCCUUCCCUUCCUGUCUGGUCUGGCCCUCCCUACCAACUCCCAUGCCCUCUCCCCAGCCUUGGGGCCACCCAGUGCUCAGAGCAGGAAUGUUUGAUCUGAAGCUGGUUAGCUUUUGAAAAAACCAACACCACCCACCCACUUCUCAAAGCCUGAGCUUUGAGAAUGAAGGAACAAAAUCGAGGGAGGCCCAGCUCCUCCCCCUCUUAUACCCUCCACCCCAGGACUCGCCACCCCACUUAAAACCACAAGGGUGGUCUUUUUUCUGAUUACAACAGCAAUUGGAAAACUUGCGGAAGUUCAAAAAAUAAAAUUAAAAUACCCUCACAUUCUACCCAGUACAGCCCCUGCUAACUUUUGGUGAAUAGUUGGUAUUUACUAAGAGCCAGGCCCCGCGUCAAGCUCUUUAUCAGCAGUAAAGCAUCGUCCUCCUUACAAGAGGUACUUCUUAUCCCCAAAUUACAGAUGGGGAAAGUAAGGCGUGCGUGAGGACUGACCCCAGUCUGCCUCAUUGACUCGCCACUACUAGCCUUUGGUGGGGUUCCCAGGAGAUUUGCUAGUCCACCCCAAGGGACCCUCACUGUACUCCUGGCACGUGCCCCUGUUGAGUGGCUGCAUCAGAAGGGGCCAGGACAGAGAGCUGAGUCUCCGCUGGAUUUCCCACAUGGGUCUUUUGCCUGCCCUCCUCACCCAGCCUAACCCCUCUGAACCUCUUGUCCCUGCAGCCUCAGGAGCCUGGCGAGGCAAGCAGCGACUCCCAGUGCGCUGGCCCAGAAAACACAAUGUGACUCUGGGCCAAGGCUCCUGGGGGCUGAGCUGUGUCCCCAUGUUCACUCCCGAGACACUCUGUCCCUUCGCCAUUCAGAAAGCAUCAUUUCAGGGACAGCCAGUGCUGCUUUUCAGAGCUGCAGCCAGAAUAGCCUGUCUACUGAGCAGGGCCAGCUAGUUGGGUGGGUGUAUGUGUGCUGUUCCAACCUAUGGCCUCCACUGGACCAGCCUAACUCGAGACACCAAACAUCGUGGGCCUGGGGUGGGGGUGGAGAACAGGAACCAUGGCUCUCCCUCGUGCUGAGAAUCCAAGCCCCCACUCCCUAGCCCCUUCCUUCUUCUAAGAUCGCCUUUAUCUUCUGCCUUCCUCUGAGCUGCCGGCUAAUGUACAGCCUCCCUUCCAUAAUCCUCCCAGGACCUAGAGAAUUUCAGAGCUGGGAAGAGCCCAGACAGCUCCCUGAGGACCUCUUCCACCUUUGGAAUGCAAAGUCACACAGGGCCAGUCUGGUGUGCACGCCCCCCAGACCCACACUGCAUUCCCUCUCCUUCCCCCCCAAGUGUUGAUGCUGGUGGCCUGGGAACUUUCUAAUCCCCAACUGUCAGAGGUCACAGUUAGUGGUGGCAUCUGGACUGGCAUUCAGGUGUCCUCCUGUUGGCCCAGCUUCUUUGCCCAGAUACUCCUGGAAUUCAACUUCUGGGCACCUGCCUUGGGCUCAGCACGCAGCAGAGCUACCGUGAGCCCAGCCUCCUUCUCAUGGCCUGCCUGAGCCUCUCGCAGCUCCAGAAGUUCCAGGAGGAUGGAUUCCUGGUGUUGGAAGGAUUCUUUUCUGCAGACGAGUGUGUGGCCAUGCAACAGAGGAUUGGUGAGAUCGUGGCCAAGAUGGACGUCCCUGUCCACUGCCGCACGGAAUUUUCCACCCAGGAAGAGGAGCAGCUGCGAGCCCAGUUCUCCUGCCACAAAGAGCCUCCUGUGGUCAGCAACCCAGGAGCCUGUGAUUCUGAUGGCAGCACAGACUAUUUCUUGAGCAGUGGUGACAAGAUUCGAUUCUUCUUUGAGAAAGGCGUUUUUGACAAGAAAGGAAAUUUCCUGGUCCCUCCAGAGAAAUCCAUCAACAAAAUUGGCCACGCUCUGCACGCCCAUGACCCUGUCUUCAAGCGUGUCACACACUCCCCCAAGGUGCAGGCCUUGGCCAGAAGUCUGGGCCUCCAGAUGCCUAUGGUGGUGCAGAGCAUGUACAUCUUUAAGGUUUCAAGGCCCAGCUCAGUGCCACCUCCACCAAGAAGACUUCCAGCUCCCUUGGGAAGAGAAGGACCGGCCUGGUCCCAGCCUCUUCUGCUGCCCCUCACUUCUGCCUGGUGUUUUGUUAGCAACCUCGCUUUGGCGGUGAAGUCUCCCCUCACCAGGACGCCUCCUUCCUCUACACGGAGCCCCUGGGCCGGGUGUUGGGCCUGUGGAUCGCAGUGGAGGACGCCACGCUGGAGAAUGGCUGCCUCUGGUUCAUCCCUGGCUCCCAUACCAGUGGAGUGUCGAGAAGGAUGGUCCGGGCCCCUGCUGGUUCAGCACCUGGCACCUGCUUCCUGGGGUCAGAGCCGGCCCGGGAUAACAGCCUCUUUGUACCCACACCAGUGCAGAGAGGAGCCCUUGUCCUAAUCCAUGGAGAAGUGGUGCACAGGAGCGAGCAAAACCUCUCCAACCGUUCACGCCAGGCCUACACUUUCCACCUCAUGGAGGCUUCUGGCACCAUCUGGAGCCCGGAGAACUGGCUCCAGCCAACAGCCGAGCUGCCCUUUCCCCCCCUGUACACCUAAAGGCCCUUGUGAGGCUGGGCACGGUCCCUUCCCAAGGGAAGCUGUGGGCUGCAGACACCAGUGCCUCAUCCGACCGCCCAGCUGCAAUGGGGAAGUCACAUCUCUCCUGUGGGCGUUCCUUCUGCCAGUGUCUGUGCCCCUUGGCCCUGCAGUCGGGCAGGCAAGGGGUGGCAGCCGGGCAGCAGGAGCCCGGCUGGAGGCCUUUCCCAAGAUCUGUCUGACCCCUGCCCCCACACAGCCCCCUCCUACAGGCAGCCUCCCAGGCACUUCUCUGCCAGACACUUACUCUCUCAGAUAGAGCUCUAUGUGGUGUAAGACACUGAAUAAAAAUGACUUCUGAGUGCA